GCAAUCUUAUGGUAAAAUUCAGAACAAUAUCCACCAAAUGAUUUAGAUAUCCAAGUGCGGAAUCUUACCUCCCAACCACACCCUUAUCAGAUAUCAGCCCCUCGACUCUUCCAAGUUCAUCAAGGGUCUCAAGAAUCUGCCUCUGUUUCUAAUGGAUUCGAGUUAAUUUUCAAGAUCUUGUUCUUGGGACAAAUCACCUUAUAUAGGAUUGGGGUUAGCCCAGCAUUGGGUUCCCUCUGCAAAGAAUUCCAGUUACAUCUCUAAGAAUACCAGCUACUUCCCUCAUUGCUUGCAAUAGUUGCAGCUGUUGUUUGGUGUUGCUUCUGGUGAGCUUUUCUUCUCUCGCCA
rnacentral:misc_RNA from 1 species